GAUGAACGCUGGCGGCGUGCCUAAUACAUGCAAGUCGGGCGAACGGACGAGAAGCUUGCUUCUCUGAUGUUAGCGGCGGACGGGUGAGUAACACGUGGAUAACCUACCUAUAAGACUGGGAUAACUUCGGGAAACCGGAGCUAAUACCGGAUAAUAUUUUGAACCGCAUGGUUCAAAAGUGAAAGACGGUCUUGCUGUCACUUAUAGAUGGAUCCGCGCUGCAUUAGCUAGUUGGUAAGGUAACGGCUUACCAAGGCAACGAUGCAUAGCCGACCUGAGAGGGUGAUCGGCCACGCUGGAACUGAGACACGGUCCAGACUCCUACGGGAGGCAGCAGUAGGGAAUCUUCCGCAAUGGGCGAAAGCCUGACGGAGCAACGCCGCGUGAGUGAUGAAGGUCCUCGGGUCGUAAAACUCUGUUAUUAGGGAAGAACAUAUGUGUAAGUAACUGUGCACAUCUUGACGGUACCUAAGCAGAAAGCCACGGCUAACUACGU
rnacentral:rRNA from 1 species